UUGAACCUCUUAAGAAGGUUCUAACCUAGAUGUCCCUCGUGUUGAGAAUAUGUCUCAUGGAGAACAAAGACAGAAAGGAUGUACUUUUUUGGUGAAGUGUCUAAUAACUAGGGGAUGGCUAAACAAGUUGAGAUGUGUGCAUGUAAUAGAAUAUUAUUGCUCCAAAAGAAAUUAAGAAUCUCAUGAAUUUAGAGAAAUGUGGGAAGAUGUAUGGAAUUGAUGCAGAAUAAAAUAAGGACUGGGAAAGCAAAAUACCCUGUUCCCACAGUAAUUACAAUGACAUAAAGGAAGAGACACUAACAUCAUGUAGAAGACUGUGAACUUGUAAUGACCAACCUUGGCCAUGGAGGAGAGAUUAAGAAAUGGAGUUCCUUCUUCUCCAUGAAGAGAUUACCGCAUCCACCUCGGACUCCUCUCCAGUAAUUUCCUUCAAAACCUCCGUAAGCUCCUGCUGCUGUAAUUCUUUCAAUUCCUCCAUCAUCAAGAUCCAUGGUUAAAAGUUAAGAAAUUUGCCCCAAAAACCUGAUAAUAGGACAAAAAUAAAGAAGAAAGCAAAAGCAAUUCAAUACAGAUGCUCACAUGGCCAGACAAACACUGAGUAAACAAGACAACCUCAUGUAAUUUGUGAAACCAAAUGUUUGGCCAGCUAUCUAGUGGAAGAUGGCAGAACCUUGUGAUUCAAAUAUCCUCUUGUGACUUAAAGCAAAAAUCCCAAUUGUGACUGUUCAUUUCUCAGAUUGCCUGUGACUUAAGGUGCUCAUGUAUCAAUUUCCUUAGUUUUGUUCUCAAUGGAGGAAAUGUUUGUGCUACAAUUGCUUGUGGAGAUCCUUUUAGGAAAGCUACAAUAGAAGCAGGUAGAAUUAGAGGGGGAAGAUCAGUCAGAGAACUGGCAUCAAAUCAAGCCCUCUCAUUUUCAUUUCAUUUUUUCAUUGAUCAGAAAUCUGUUUUCUUUCUAUCCUAUUUCCCCUCCAUGCACUGGGAAAAAGUGGAAAAAUAAAUCUUAUAACAAAAAUUCAUUUAAAAAACCAAA